GUAUGAUCUUAGCCCUUAACCACUCAUUUGAUAUGUGACUGGCCAAUCAAAACUCUUUGUAUUAGAUCUAUGAGUUGUUUAGGAAGCCAAAGGCAGGAAACCUAGUUUCUUUUAAUAGAAUCACAGGACAACUAUACAUUUUUAUUCUUAAGGUAAGAAUGCAGUUUCAUCACUAUUGUAGAUUUCUGCAGGUCAUCAAUACUUAUGAGUUCACCAACUGCUGGACUGUCGAUGGAGAAUGUUGUCAAUGGAAUAGUGGGAGAACCAACCCCAUCUACAAGUGAAUGUGGAUCCAGAAGCAUGAAGGGAAGGGAGCAGAUAGGGGCAGGCAUAUCCUGUGAGAAUGCACGAAGCUCCAAUGUUCUUGAGGAAUUUUCAGACAGCUUCGUGCAGUGGGUAACCUAUGGAGAGACACUUUGCCAUUGAAUAUCAAGCUUAUCUCUUAUUGUUUCACCCCCCAAUUAAUCAGUUGCUCCUUUGACUCAAACCUGCGAUAGAGAUGCAGAUUCAUGGAUUAAGAUUGAUGAAGAGGGUGCUGCAGAAUUAAAAGGAGAAGCAAAAGCAGUUGCAUCUAACAUCAUUCUGUAGGGACAAAAUAUGCAGGGAACAAUCCUUCUGGCCCUUGUGCAUGACUCAUGGCAUUCAUUAUUUCUAUCUUGAAAGAAAGCCUCAGUCAGAACAUGGAUCUGAAGUACAAAAAGUAAAUAGUGAACAGUUAAGAUUCUUUUUGGAGCUCAGCUAUUCCUAAUUUUCACCGCGGGUGUGGACCUUGUAGGUUUCAGUUUUGUAAAUAUGUUCUCUUUGCGUUAGCAAGAGCUCCGUUUGUAGGAUUGCAGGUCAUCAAUUCUUUAUAUCCUUUCAUGUUUAUUGCGGCGGGAUGUGAUGCUAACGUUGCAGUUAAAUAUUUGGAAGAACGAGAACAGAUCCAUAAUAGGACUGAUUUGUCAUUAAGGCGUCAAAGUUGGAGAACUCUAAUGUCUAGUGUCUGUGUCUGCUAAUGUUAUAGAAAUGGUGUUCAUGCUUCUGGUCUUGAUCCUCGUCCCUGAUGUUGGCUGGGCCGAGUUUUUCAAGGAGGUGCAAGUUUCUGUAUGCAUCGUUGUGGAUUCUGUUUGAAGAAAUAAGAGGAAUACAAAUUUUGAAGCCUAGGAAUCAUUAAGUUUCAGAGAUCAGUAGACCUAUAGAAGAGAAAUCAAAACUUUCAUUCCAUUAUCUCUGUAUCGAUCUAUCUCAUUACAAGGCAUGAACAACAAAAGAGUGGGCACUAGGAAUUCAAGCUUUGAUGUUUGGUUAUCCAUGUUCAGUUCUGUAUAAAAUUAUGAUUAGCAUGCAAAUGCAAAAUUAUGGGAAUAUCUAA